AAGGGGCCAAUAUGCGAGGUGGUUUGCAGUGGGAUCCUGGAAGACCAGGGAUACAGCCUCGGGUCCCCGGACUUUUCUUAAGCAACACCCAAACAGCAUGUGGAGGCGCUGCGUGUCUUAAGUCACCAAAAACGAGAUGAAAGGGCAACUGCUGACUUUUGUUGCCACAUCUGACGUGGCCGAAGUCGAGUCCCGCCCGGUUCUCCUUCGUGACUGCAGGAACUCUCUAUCAAACAAUAUGAAAGGAAACUUUGGACUUCAUGGAGAGAUUAUAUUGAUGAUGGAAUGCAUGAACACAGUUGGAUGUCUGAGGUGGGGAAGGCACCAGCCAGGUGCCCAAGAGCUUGGUGGUGAACAACUCUCUUGCUAACUGUCCGCCUAAGAGCCCUGCCUUUAACAAUAAAGUGCCACGCCCAC